GACGAACGCUGGCGGCGCGCUUAACACAUGCAAGUCGAACGGAAAGGCCUGCUUUCCCUUGUGGAUUGCGGGUACUCGAGUGGCGAACGGGUGAGUAACACGUGAGUGAUCAGCCCCCAACUUGGGUAUAAGCCUGGGAAACUGGGUCUAAUUCCCGAUAGGACUGCAGGGUGGUGCCUGUGGUGGAAAACGAUUUUCUAGUGGUUGGGGAUGAGCUCGCGGCCUAUCAGCUUGUUGGUGGGGUAAUGGCCUACCAAGGCGGCGACGGGUAGCCGGCCUGAGAGGGUGGACGGCCACAUUGGGACUGGGAUACGGCCCAGACUCCUACGGGAGGCAGCAGUGGGGAAUAGUGCACAAUGGGCGGAAGCCUGAUGCAGCGACGCCGCGUGGGGGAUGACGGCCUUCGGGUUGUAAACUCCUUUCGACCGCGAGGAAGCCACCUGGUUGGAAGGGUGGUGACGGUAGUGGUAGAAGAAGCACCGGCUAACUACGUG
rnacentral:rRNA from 1 species